UACGUAGGGCGCAAGCAUUGUCCGGAAUUACUGGGCGUAAAGGGCUCGUAGGCGGCCAACUAAGUCAGACGUGAAAUCCCCGGGCUCAACCCGGGAACUGCGUCCGAUACUGGGAGGCUUGAAUCCGGGAGAGGGAUGUGGAAUUCCAGGUGUAGCGGUGAAAUGCGUAGAUAUCUGGAGGAACACCGGUGGCGAAGGCGGCAUCCUGGACCGGUAUUGACGCUGAGGCGCGAAAGCCAGGGGAGCAAACGGG
rnacentral:rRNA from 1 species